GGGGGACAGAGUGACAGGUGGUGCAUGGUUGUCGUCAGCUCGUGUCGUGAGAUGUUGGGUUAAGUCCCGCAACGAGCGCAACCCUUAAGCUUAGUUGCCAUCAUUAAGUUGGGCACUCUAAGUUGACUGCCGGUGACAAACCGGAGGAAGGUGGGGAUGACGUCAAAUCAUCAUGCCCCUUAUGAUUUGGGCUACACACGUGCUACAAUGGACAAUACAAAGGGUAGCAAAACCGCGAGGUCAAGCAAAUCCCAUAAAGUUGUUCUCAGUUCGGAUUGUAGUCUGCAACUCGACUACAUGAAGCUGGAAUCGCUAGUAAUCGUAGAUCAGCAUGCUACGGUGAAUACGUUCCCGGGUCUUGUACACACCGCCCGUCACACCACGAGAGUUUGUAACACCCGAAGCCGGUGGAGUAACCUUUUGGAGCUAGCCGUCGAAGGUGGGACAAAUGAUUGGGGUGAAGUCGUAACAAGGUAGCCGUAUCGGAAGGUGCGGCUGGAUCACCUCCUUUCUAAGGA
rnacentral:rRNA from 1 species